UAGGGAAUCUUCCACAAUGGAUGAAAGUCUGAUGGAGCAACGCCGCGUGAGUGAAGAAGGGUUUCGGCUCGUAAAACUCUGUUGUUAAAGAAGAACAUAUCUGAGAGUAACUGUUCAGGUAUUGACGGUAUUUAACCAGAAAGCCACGGCUAACUACGUGCUAG
rnacentral:rRNA from 1 species